rnacentral:rRNA from 1 species
UACGAAGGUGGCAAGCGUUGUUCGGAUUUACUGGGCGUACAGGGUGCGUAGGCGGUUGGAUAAGCCCUCCGUGAAAUCUCCAGGCUUAACCUGGAAAGUGCAGAGGGGACUGUUCAGCUAGAGGAUGGGAGAGGAGCGCGGAAUUCCCGGUGUAAGGGUGAAAUCUGUAGAGAUCGGGAGGAACACCAGUCGCGAAGGCGCUUUACUGGCUCAUUACUGACGCUCAGGGACGAAAGCUAGGGUAGCAAACGGG